CCGAGCCUCGGCUCCCAAGCCCCCGCGAACCGUACCCCCGAGUUGCCUCGGCGGCGCGCCCCGGCGCCCGCCGCAGGGCCCCGAACCACCCGUCUUCCAGCGGCAUGUCUGAGUGUCACGCACGAACGAGUCAA
rnacentral:misc_RNA from 1 species